rnacentral:rRNA from 1 species
CAGUAGCCGCGGUAAUACGAAGGGGGCUAGCGUUGCUCGGAAUUACUGGGCGUAAAGGGCGCGUAGGCGGACAGUUAAGUCAGAGGUGAAAGCCCAGGGCUCAACCUUGGAACUGCCUUUGAUACUGGCUGUCUAGAGUGCGGGAGAGGUGUGUGGAACUUCGAGUGUAGAGGUGAAAUUCGUAGAUAUUCGGAAGAACACCAGUGGCGAAGGCGACACACUGGCCCGUAACUGACGCUGAGGCGCGAAAGCGUGGGGAGCAAACAGGAUUAGAUACCCCCGUAGUCCCUGUCUCUUAUAA